CAUUAAACUGAAUAGGAAAUAAGUACUGUGAGUAAUGUGGCAGUCCAGUAGGAGGUAGCAGGUGUUGCAGCUCCGUUGCACAGGUGUGUGUUGCAGCAUUCAUUGGUGAAGGUGAAGUUGAGUCCCAUGGUGUAUUUUUCACCCGUGACUCCACACAGGGAGGAAAGGACGCAGCUCUUCUCAUAUAACACCACGCGGAAGUCUCCUGAAAAUCAAGAGUUCAUUAGAAACAUAACUCUGGGAGAGACUCAAACUCUGCUGGACAGACAGACCUGCCCAGGUGGACACAUGAGAGGAAAUUUGAUGCAGUCCAGAGCUGGAAGUAAACCAAGGACAAUCAGAGGGCAGACCAGCUUCGACAUUACUGACUCUUUCUGUCUCACAAGGAGAAAAUAUUCUUGCAGCUUGACUGUUCAGCUCUUCACUUAGUCUCUUUCUUGUUAUUUUCUAGAACAAAACUGCCAUUUUCAUCUAAAAAAAACAAAAGUCUCCCUCUUUGUGACUCAAGUCAGUUUCCGAUUACCUUUAUCCAGGCUUCCUCAGCCAGCCCAGCUGCAGAGAUCUGAAGACCGAUUGUCUCACUGAUUUUCUUCACCAGGCCAUCAUUGACUGUAUGGUGAACAGCUUUCUGCCUGGAGAUGGCACUGGUUAGCAUCUGUCUGAUGUUUUCCCUCAGUAGCUGUGACUGGUUGACUGUCAAACUGGACGACUCUAAAAUCUGUUUACAUUCUGCAAGAAGACAAAUCAGUGAUGUUAAACAUUGUGUCAUUUAAACAGGAUAUACUGCACUGUUUUUUCAAACAUCAAGAGGUCACAAGAUCAGUUUAACAAGUGGAGAUCAUCCUAAAAUAACCUUUACUGCAUUUUCUGUUACCAUAUACAAUACUACACCCAUUUUACCUCUGAGCACACUGUGGGUCACCAGGAAGGUCAGCAGUACCAGAUAGGAUCUUUUUCUGAGUGUAAGCAGGUACGUUAGAGUAAAUUAAACUGUUACAGUAAUGCUCACAUACAGUAUUUGCACUCUGUACUUUGCCUAUUGUAAUACAUAUUAAUGGACAACUACUUAUGCACAUACCAAAAUUACAUUUUCAGUGAGCAAUUAAGUGAAAGCCUCCAGUCUUGCACAGUUUUUAGCCAUGCCCGGAGUGUGCCUCCUAGGAAUGUCAAUGUACUUUGUGUUUAGUGCUAAUUCGCAAAUGUUAGAAUGCAAAAACAUGGUAAAGAUGGUGAACAUUAUACCUACUAAACACUAUCAUGUUACUUUUUCAAGUUCCAUUAUUCGUAUACAUUUUUCGUAAUUUAUUUAAUUUUUUGUUUGUGUGUUAUUUGUUCAUACACACAGCAUCAACAUUGGAUGUGUGUAAAAUGACGCCCCAUUUGGGUUUUGUGUAAUUUGUCUUUUCUCCAAGUGAGCUGCUACAGCGGCAUGACUGCCUGCGGGAACUGAUACAGUUUUACUUUGUGUCCUGAGUGUACCUGGUGUAAAGGGGCUGACGGGAUCUGCUUUGGUGAAGGUCUGAGCAGCGCAGCGGUGUCCUCCAGCAGAGCUGCUAUGAGGCAGCAGCUCCAGGACACGAGCCCUCUCACUGGCGCAGUCCAACAGGUGUUUGCUGCUCUGACCCAGGGCCUGGAAGAGACAGAGCAGUGGACGGCCUCCUAGUCCUCCCCUCUGAGCUCCUCCUGUUGACGGUCAGAUCAGUCCUGAGGCUGCGCAGCAUCCUCUCAAGGUGACCCCUCUCCCUCUCCAGCUUGAUGCCCUCCUGGGUCACCCUGCCGGCUUGCCUGCGCAGCUGGCCCUCCACCUCCCGCACCCUUCGCAUGUACUCACCGGCCACGGCAAUGCUGGCCCCAGCACACCGCUCACGCAAGCUGAUGGAGUCACGAUUCUCUCCGCAUUCCUCCUCUGUGAUCUUAUCUUCGGUUGUUUCCGCUGUGCAGUCUGUGCGCUUUGGUGUAAAACUGGCGGCGGCGCUGCAGCUAGGGGGCCGGCUGGAAGUCCCGGACAGCCCGGCCCGAGUCUGCCGCACCAGGCGCUCAGCCCGCCGGAUGGAGCGGACCGUCCCAUCGUGCCAAGACUGCGGACCGAUGGUGACAGAGCCGAGGGGCACCGACUGGACCUGCAUUAGGCUACUUUCACAUGCACUUCCCCCCCUAAUUUCUUUUUUUUUUGCUAUCAGCUGUUUUUACCUCACUGAAUAUGAUGAACCCCAAAGCUAUUUUGUGUCCACUGUGAAGCAAACAGUGGUUAACUUUGUGUUAAGUGUUAUCAACCCCUUAGCAACAGUUCCUUAAGUAACUACAAACUCAAAGCUAUUUGAUGAUUGGACAGUGAGGAGGUGAGGGACACUGUCAUUCAACACUGGCUUUUACAGAGUUGAGACGCCUCAGGUUCCCGGAAGUUAAUUCCCACAAAUUUAUAUUCUCAGCUGAAUCACAUGCUAGAGUGUUAACAACUGCGUUAAAAUACAUUUUACAAGCAUAUGAAUGUUAACACUUCAAGAUAAGUUAACUACUACUCCCAAGGUGCAUUUCGGCAAAUAAAUUAAAAAUUAAAAACCAUCCAAUCACAAAGCUUAAAAUGACACGCAACCGCAGCAGUCUCUGUGGGUAACAAUGAAACAUAAAUUUAUUUCUAUGUGACUAUUACUGGACGAAUUCGGCAACUGUGGCACUGUUUUUGUUCACUAACUCUGCUGCGAAGCGUUUUCAAAUCACCAUCGCUCUGAUUCGUGCCUCGGCCUGACAUUGCAACGGCGGCAGAGGCUCAUGGGUAUUGUAGUCGUUAGAUCCGUACGCCAUGCAAAAAAAAUGGACAAAACAUCAACUCUGAAACGAAGUUAAAAUAAAUUAGAAGUGGUGGUCAUAAAACAAAUCUGUAUGAUACAUUAUUAUUACUAUUAAUCUAUUGAUCGACUCCAGACUGUCCAGAACUCAGCUGCCAGGCUUUUAACCAGAACAAAGAAAUAUGACCACAUUACUCCU